CCUCCCUGGCAAUGGGCAAAGAGAAACCUUGUUGGUAGCGUUGUUCUUAUAUCAGUCAGGGGCAGAGCAGAUGGUAGUCCCUUUUUCAUACUAACUUGAUGCCUGGCUUGGUGGUCAAAGCUGUUUUAUGCCUAGGACACAAUA